GAAAAGCGAAAUUCGGGAGUAGAUCGGGGAAAAGAAAAAGUAAAGGACUAAAUUGUAAAGUUUUGUCACAUUUUGUAUCGAGUACUUAUCUAGCCACUCGGGGAUCGAAGGAAACGUCGGAGGCCGAUCACACUAUCAAAGAAAUAACUCAGUAUAAUUAGACGUUUUGUUUUGUGUAUGGCAUGUAUAGAAACUUAGCUACUUUUGGCAUAAUAUGAACAAUGAAUGAUGUGUAAAUCCUUGCUAGUGAUUAGCUAAUAAAAAUGGCCGAUGAUAUGCAUGUUUAUUAA